UCGGAUGUGGUGUACGGCGCACACCCGCUCGCAAUACGUUUCAUCCUUUUCUCAUGGGUUAAGCGGGUAGUCUGGGUUCGAUUCCCAGCGUCCGAA